rnacentral:tRNA from 2 species
UGGCGUGCAGCCCGAUUGGUGAGAGCAGUUGGUUUUUAAUCAAUGCUGUAUGCGUGCUUGUGCAGGUUCGAUUCCUGUCACGCCAA